GUCUUUUUGAAAUAAAUUUAAAGUCUGACCUGCCCACUGAUAUUAUUAAAGGGCCGCGGUAUUUUGACCGUGCAAAGGUAGCAUAAUCAUUAGUUUUUUAAUUGAAAGCUUGUAUGAAUGGUUGGACGAAAUAUUUACUGUCUCAUAAAAAUUUAUAUUAGAAAUUAAUUUUUUUGUUAAAAAGCAAAAAUAAAUUUAAAGGACGAGAAGACCCUAUAGAGCUUUAUAAUUUUAUUAUUUAAUUUUUUAAGGAAAUUUUAAAUUUUAUAAAAAUAAUUAUUUUGUUGGGGUGACAAUAAAAUUUAUAAAACUUUUAUUAUAAAUGAAACAUUGAUUAAUGAAUAUUUGAUCCAUUAUUAAUGAUUAAAAAAUUAAGUUACCUUAGGGAUAACAGCGUAAUUUUUUUUAAGAGUUCAUAUCGACAAAAAAGAUUGCGACCUCGAUGUUGGAUUAAGAAUUAUUUUUAGGUGUAGAAGUUUAAAGUUUAGGUCUGUUCGACCUUUGAAUUCUU
rnacentral:rRNA from 1 species